UAUGGGGGACUUGCAGCCCAGUAAGGAAG
rnacentral:piRNA from 1 species